rnacentral:lncRNA from 9 species
AUGUUUCACUUGAACCCCACCACAGAAAUUGCCCCAAAGGAAGCCUUGUUUGUUUCUUCUUUCACUUUUAGUGCUAUGGAGUCCCAUUUGCACCUGGAAUGCUGGGAACAGGGGAUGGAGCAGCAAGAAGCAAUUGAAAGGAUUAGGAUGGAACCUUCCUCAAGCUUCACAGGCUUGUCUGCUGGCCACAGACACCAUUAUGGAAUACCCUUCCUGAGGCCAAGAUGUGUCCUCUGGAAAGAUACCCAUGACACAGACCACAGUGGACACCAACUCAGAUACUGAGGGAAGGUUCCACGACAGCUGAACAUGGACAGCAGACAUGCUGAACACUGAGCCCCUUAGUACAGAGCUGCUAAGCUUUCCUCUCAAGCUGACGGGGGCUGGUACUGCCUUGAAGCCCUG